GGUCUGAGACUGGGGACAAGAUUCUUUUGCGUUUGGGGUUUUGUUUGGACCUUAAUGCCCCAGAAGAAGUGGACCCGUAUGUGACUCAGCCUGAGAUCUAAGUCACCUCAGCAACUGAACAUGUUGAAAGCUGUGGAUGGUGUUGAAGGCCCAAGAGACAAACUGAGUCAGGGUGUCUGCAGUAGCCUUUCAUGCCACAAUGGGACUUAGCCCAACGCUAAUGAAGGAUUUGGAAAUCUUAACGGAGGAAAUUUACAGGAAGAAGUAAUACAGCACAGGAGAGCCCUGUUUUACAAAUGCAGGAUAUAGAAACUGAGAAGCUAAUUGCAGUUGCAGAGACUCAAAAUGGCUGCUCUGUUGUUGUUUUAUUCAAGAAUGCACUGGAAUUGCAUAAAAUCAAAUCUGUACAAAAUAUGGCCCAAUCCUGCAUCCCUUAUUUGUAUGAGUAAGGAAUACGCACUUGACUCAAGGAUUGCUGGAUUGGCCCCUGGUUAACAAUCUUAACAGUCCCCAUUUGCCCUUUCUCUUUACUAAAUACAGCACUCAGAUGUCAUUUGAUCAGAAAUUGUUCAGACAUAAAAUUAAGUCUUGCAGUCUGAAUAAAGACCUGAUCUUAUAGUCCUGUGCAGGGAAAACUCCCAUUGCCUUCCUGAGUUUUGCCUGCAUAAAUGCUAUAGGUUUGAGUACAGUGUGUUUAAGGUUUUGUUAAGAGACUUUUUUUAAUAAUUUAAAAAAAUUUGUUGAACUUCAUUGUCAAUAAAUUACCAAGAGAGAGAUUUAUUUGUAUAUUAUGCCGUAGUGCUUCAGAAUCAAUAUAUAUAAUGUAUCUAUUCAAGAAACAUACUGUAAAUGAUCGGUUGUUCUGUUCAACACUCUCAGACAAAUUAGCCUUUCUUUUUGAAGUUAAUGGGAGUUUUGACAUUGAUUACAGUAAAAGUAGGAUCAGGCCCUUUGUAGCUGAUUUCAUAUAAUUCUCAGUUUACAUUAAAAAAUGAGGCAAUACAUAUACACUUUGUUAUUAUUUGUUACUUAAAUAGCACCAUAAGUGUACACAGCUCAGUAUCUAAUAUGUGUUUUGCAAUGAAGGCAAAACAAUAUUCUAGAAUAUUAGACUGUAGAUGGAAAAAUAAUUUUACUACGUAUGGACUAAUUUGUAACCAUCAGUUUUAUGUAUCAUACUUUAAAGUGAACAUAAACUAUAAAUAUAUUAUAAAUCAAAAUUAACUGAUCUCAUCUCUCUUGCCUUCCCUUCCACACAAAAUGUGACUCCAUAAAACGUCAGUAUUCUAUUGCCUUUUCUCCAACAAACACCAAAAGGUCAGAGUUCAGUCAAAGAAUAUUUUUAGGGCCAUGGGGCAUAAGAGGAAAGACUGAAAAAACUAGAUGCCAAAUCUGACCCAAUUGAAGUCAGUAGCAGUCCUCCCAUUGACUGUAGUGGGACUGGGAUUAAGUUUUAGGAGCACUGCAGAAUGAUCUGAUCUUGGAGUCCUUCCACAUGCUGAAAUGCUGUCUGCUUUAAUGGGAGUUAUGUUUGUGCAAAGUGUAUAGGGUCACAACCUCUAGGCUAAAUCCAGUAAACCCCUUCAUAACAUGAACCAUCCCUAAUCACAUGAAUAGCCCCAUAGGAUGAAACAGAAGCAUAACAAUAAAUAAUAAUUUAUAAAUAUUCAGAGUGUAGCAGAAGCAGGAGGGGGGUUAAAAAUGGAAACAGGUGGAAGUUUUAAAGUAACAUUAAUAAGACUGGAACUAGGCAAAGGGACGAAAAUGUCCUUGAAUCAGAAUUAUCAGGUUGUA